AAGGAGAAGCGCUGGGAAUCCGGGUUGGAGUGCGUUUCGGGGCUCGUGGAAACGCCCAGGAGGCAGCGGCGACCGCGCAGCCUGGAACCGCCAGGAGCGCGGGCGGGCAGCAGCCGGUGGCCGCCAGGCCUCUUACUCCAGGCUGGCCGCGGAAGGGCGCGCACCUCUCCACCAAGCCCUUGCGAAGCGACAACCAUGGUAGUUGCAGUUUUACAAAGAAACGGAACGUUUU
ensembl:misc_RNA